rnacentral:rRNA from 1 species
AGCAUAUAACUAAGCGGAGGAAAAGAAACUAACAAGGAUUCCCCUAGUAACGGCGAGUGAACAGGGAAGACCCAGCGCCGAAGCCUCCGUCCCGCGCGGGCGGCAGGCAAUGUGGCGUUCGGGAGAAACCUCUCCUUCCGGAAGCAGUCCCGGAGCCCAGGUCCCCCUGACCGGGGCCAUCGCCCGCCGAGGGUGCAAGGCCCGUUCGGCUCUGGGCGUCCGGAGGACGUUCUUAUCUCCCGGGAGUCGGGUUGCUUGGGAGUGCAGCCCUAAGCGGGUGGUAAACUCCAUCUAAGGCUAAAUACUUCCACGAGACCGAUAGC